GGGGAUAACACUUGGAAACAGGUGCUAAUACCGUAUAACACUAUUUUCCGCAUGGAAGAAAGUUGAAAGGCGCUUUUGCGUCACUGAUGGAUGGACCCGCGGUGCAUUAGCUAGUUGGUGAGGUAACGGCUCACCAAGGCCACGAUGCAUAGCCGACCUGAGAGGGUGAUCGGCCACACUGGGACUGAGACACGGCCCAGACUCCUACGGGAGGCAGCAGUAGGGAAUCUUCGGCAAUGGACGAAAGUCUGACCGAGCAACGCCGCGUGAGUGAAGAAGGUUUUCGGAUCGUAAAACUCUGUUGUUAGAGAAGAACAAGGGUGAGAGUAAAAUGUUCAUCCCUUGACGGUAUCUAACCAGAAAGCCACGGCUAACUACGUGCCAGCAGCCGCGGUAAUACGUAGGUGGCAAGCGUUGUCCGGAUUUAUUGGGCGUAAAGCGAGCGCAGGCGGUUUCUUAAGUCUGAUGUGAAAGCCCCCGGCUCAACCGGGGAGGGUCAUUGGAAACUGGGAGACUUGAGUGCAGAAGAGGAGAGUGGAAUUCCAUGUGUAGCGGUGAAAUGCGUAGAUAUAUGGAGGAACACCAGUGGCGAAGGCGGCUCUCUGGUCUGUAACUGACGCUGAGGCUCGAAAGCGUGGGGAGCGAACAGGAUUAGAUACCCU
rnacentral:rRNA from 1 species